GCGUAGGAUCUACCUAGUAGUAUGGAAUAGCCAUUAGAAAUGAUGGGUAAUACUGUAUAAUCCCUGCGGGGGAAAGAUUUAUCGCUAUUAGAUGAGCCUACGUUAGAUUAGCUAGUUGGUAAGGUAAUGGCUUACCAAGGCUAUGAUCUAUAGCUGGUCUGAGAGGACGAUCAGCCACACUGGAACUGAGAUACGGUCCAGACUCCUACGGGAGGCAGCAGUGGGGAAUAUUGGACAAUGGGCGAAAGCCUGAUCCAGCUAUGCCGCGUGAGUGAAGAAGGCCUUCGGGUUGUAAAACUCUUUCA
rnacentral:rRNA from 1 species